rnacentral:misc_RNA from 1 species
CACGUAGGGUGCGAGCGUUAAUCGGAAUUACUGGGCGUAAAGGGUGCGCAGGCGGUUUCGCAAGUCAGGUGUGAAAUCCCCGGGCUUAACCUGGGAAUGGCAUUUGAAACUACGAGACUUGAGUGCGGCAGAGGGAGGUGGAAUUCCACGUGUAGCGGUGAAAUGCGUAGAUAUGUGGAGGAACACCGAUGGCGAAGGCAGCCUCCUGGGCCGACACUGACGCUCAUGCACGAAAGCGUGGGGAGCAAACAGG